UUUGCCACAAGAUUGUUGAUUCAACAGACUUGUUACAAGCAGUUUCAACAACUUCAUGUUAUCGUCCUGUAAUUUAACAAUUUGUCAACAAGUUUCUCAACUUAUUGACAAAUUGUUAAAUUACAGGACGAUAACAUGAAGUUGUUGAAACAGCUUGUAAGAAGUCUGUUGAAUCAACAAUCUUGUGGCAAG